GACCACUUGGCCUAGUGGUUAGCGCUUUUGCUUCCCAGUAUUAUGAGGCGAGUUCGAUUCCGGCAGAGGUCG